rnacentral:rRNA from 1 species
UACAUAGGGAGCAAGCGUUAUCCGGAAUUAUUGGGUGUAAAGGGUGCGUAGAUGGGUUAGCAAGUUAGUUGUGAAAUCCCUCGGCUUAACUGAGGAACUGCAACUAAAACUACAAAUCUUGAGUGCAGGAGAGGUAAGUGGAAUUCCUAGUGUAGCGGUGAAAUGCGUAGAUAUUAGGAGGAACACCAGUGGCGAAGGCGACUUACUGGACUGUAACUGACAUUGAAGCACGAAAGUGUGGGGAGCAAACAGG